GAUGAACGCUGGCGGCGUGCCUAAUACAUGCAAGUCGAGCGAACGGACGAGAAGCUUGCUUUUCUGAUGUUAGCGGCGGACGGGUGAGUAACACGUGGAUAACCUACCUAUAAGACUGGGAUAACUUCGGGAAACCGGAGCUAAUACCGGAUAAUAUUUUGAACCGCAUGGUUCAAAAGUGAAAGACGGUCUUGCUGUCACUUAUAGAUGGAUCCGCGCUGCAUUAGCUAGUUGGUAAGGUAACGGCUUACCAAGGCAACGAUGCAUAGCCGACCUGAGAGGGUGAUCGGCCACACUGGAACUGAGACACGGUCCAGACUCCUACGGGAGGCAGCAGUAGGGAAUCUUCCGCAAUGGGCGAAAGCCUGACGGAGCAACGCCGCGUGAGUGAUGAAGGUCUUCGGAUCGUAAAACUCUGUUAUUAGGGAAGAACAGAUGUGUAAGUAACUGUGCACAUCUUGACGGUACCUAAUCAGAAAGCCACGGCUAACUUCGUG
rnacentral:rRNA from 1 species